UACGAAGGGGGCUAGCGUUGUUCGGAAUCACUGGGCGUAAAGCGCACGUAGGCGGGCCGUUAAGUCGGGGGUGAAAUCCCAGAGCUCAACUCUGGAACUGCCUUCGAUACUGGCGAUCUUCGAGUCCGGGAGAGGUGAGUGGAACUCCGAGUGUAGAGGUGAAAUUCGUAGAUAUUCGGAAGAACACCAGUGGCGAAGGCGGCUCACUGGCCCGGUACUGACGCUGAGGUGCGAAAGCGUGGGGAGCAAACAGG
rnacentral:rRNA from 1 species